ensembl:lncRNA
AAGAGAAGAGAGGAGAGGAGAGGAGAGGAGGAGAGAAGAGAGGACAGCAAAGCCAGAGCUCAGUCUGGAUCCCUUGGUGCUGAAGCUUGGUGCUGCUUUUGUUAUGGAGACCCUGUUUGUUUUCUUUCUCCAGCCCAGUGGUUUUCCCCAACAACUCUGUCAAGGUAAGAUAAGUGGUAGUGUGGGGAUCUGUACAAUUAAGGGUUUCGGGGACUGAUGGAUAUUGGUGUGUGUGUCCGUGCCUUCUGGGGUCCUGUAUCAGUCGUGUGUGUGUGUGUGUGUGUGUCACUGGUCCUGUAUCAGUCGUGUGUGUUCUCGUGUGUGUGUGUGUGUGUCACUGUCUUUAGGCCACUGCAAAUGCUGCUCCACAAACUCCUAGGGCAAGUACUGUACAGACUAGAGGUAAGUUCAAGCCCUGAGGUGAGAGGGCAUCUAUCUGGUGUCUCUUCCUAAGCACCAUGUGCACCUCCCAGAGCUCAGGGGCUCAUUCAGAAUCUCAUUAGUGUCAAGUGUGUGUGUGUGUGUGUGUGUGUCUGUCAGUGUGUGUGUGUGUGUGUCUGUCAGUGUGUGUGUGUGUGUGUUGGUUUUUCAUGCAUUAUGAGGACCGGGGCGAAACGAGGCUCCAUUUGAGAAAACA